AAUGUUGCUUUAGCAACGGCCCGAAGGGCGAGGCAAAGCCGAGUCAUCCUGCACGACCCACCA
rnacentral:sRNA from 1 species